UAAGGAAUAUUGGACAAUGGUCGCAAGACUGAUCCAGCCAUGCCGCGUGCAGGAAGACGGCCCUAUGGGUUGUAAACUGCUUUUGUACCAGAGAAAACCUAUCUACGUGUAGAUAGCUGAUAGUAUGGUAAGAAUAAGCAUCGGCUAACUUCGUGCCAGCAGCCGCGGUAAGACGAAGGAUGCAAGCGUUAUCCGGAUUCAUUGGGUUUAAAGGGUGCGUAGGCGGGCUUGUAAGUCAGUGGUGAAAUCUCUCAGCUUAACUGAGAAACUGCCAUUGAUACUGCAGGCCUAGAGUAUAGAGGACCUUGGCGGAAUAGGACAUGUAGUGGUGAAAUACUUAGAUAUGUCAUAGAACACCGAUUGCGAAGGCAGCUAACGAAACUAUAACUGACGCUGAGGCACGAAAGUGCGGGGAUCAAA
rnacentral:rRNA from 1 species